UUUAUGUAAAAUUCUCAAAUUAUCUUUCUCCAAAUUCAAACCCUUUUUAUUAUAAAAUCUCAUAUUUCCCCUUUCACUGACCUAAACCCUCCAUUUCCCCCAAUCGCUCCUACUAUCGCCGGAUUUCUCCAAUCUCCCCUAUCGCCGGAUUUUCCCGCUGGUCAUCAUCAACGGACGCCGGAAUCAAUUUGGGAGCAGGUAUGU
rnacentral:lncRNA from 1 species